rnacentral:lncRNA from 1 species
AACAGUAAAACGAACGCAGGUCCAGGCGUUCCUACUGAAACAGCAACUGACACAGCAUAGCUCACAAUUCAUCAAUUCACAAAGGCGCCAAUCUCCUAACCGACACUACGGGGCUGUUUGGAUACGAGGUGCUAAACUUUAACAGUGUCACAUCGGAUGUUUGGAUGCUAAUUAGGAGGACUAAACAUGAGCUAAUUAUAAAACUAAUUGCAGAACCUUGUGCUAAUUCGCGAGACGAAUCUAUUAAGCCUAAUUAAUCCAUCAUUAGCAAAUGGUUACUGUAGCACCACAUUGUCAAAUCAUGGACUAAUUAGGCUUAAUAGAUUCGUCUCGCGAAUUAUACUCCAUCCGUGCAAUUAGUUUUGUAAUUAGCUUAUGUUUAGUACUCCUAAUUAGCAUCCAAACAUCCGAUGUGACAGGUGUUAAACUUUAACAGGUGUUUCCCAAACACCCCCUACGGAAGCCUCUGGUCACGCCAGCACCGCCGCGGCCAGGGAGAGCAGGGACGCGGCGACGGUGGCGGCCACGGAGCGUCCGGCGAGGAGGGCCUUGGGCGCGGCGUUGGGGUGCGGCGACGGCGCGGCCGUGGCGCCGCCGGAGCCACCGCCGGAGGAGGGCUCGGGGGUAGGCGCCAUGGAAGGGGCAGCAGAGGAGGAGGCAGCGACGCGGAUGUCCACCUUUUGGCCGCCGGCGCAGUGGCCCGGGAUGCCGCAGAGGAAGUAGUGGUGGCCGGUGGUGUUGAGGACCACGGAGUCGUUGCCCGAAUUCCAGGUGGCCAUCGGCUUGUUGGCGUCGCAGUUCUUGUAGUCCGCCUUGCUCACCGCCAUCACGUUGUGGAACUGCUUGUUGUACGUGAACAC